rnacentral:rRNA from 1 species
UACGUAGGGUGCGAGCGUUGUCCGGAAUUACUGGGCGUAAAGAGCUCGUAGGUGGUUUGUCGCGUUGUCCGUGAAAACUCACAACUCAAUUGUGGGCGUGCGGGCGAUACGGGCAGACUGGAGUACUGCAGGGGAGACUGGAAUUCCUGGUGUAGCGGUGGAAUGCGCAGAUAUCAGGAGGAACACCGGUGGCGAAGGCGGGGUCUCUGGGCAGUAACUGACGCUGAGGAGCGAAAGCGUGGGGAGCAAACAGG